UACAACUUGUUGCAACAAGUUUGUUGAUAUUAUGAGACUUGUGGCAAAAUUGUUACAAGGUUGAUAACACAAGGUUGUAACAAUAUUGUUAUAUCAUGACUGUAUCAGGCUUCUUGGAACAACCUUGCUGCAAGUCUGAUAACAUCAACAAGCUUGUUACAAGGUUCUC